UUCUUUGAGUAAGGCAGAUUUAACUGGCACUUUUUAUCAGACAUUAUUUACUAUGUAGCCAGACACUUUCCUACAAUCACAGAUUGCUUAUGUAUUUGUUUUAAGCAACUGUUCAGGUUAAAUAUAAAUAACAUGACUUCAUCACUUUCUAAUCAUUUUUUCUGCUGUAUUCUUCCAUGUCAGAUCCCUAUGAUGGAUUCAUGGGGUUCUAUCCUCUUUACAAACUGUUCUGUGAUCCCUGCCAACAACAAAAGAGGUGAUGGAUAUGAUUGUCUGCAAUUCAAGCAAGAGCGAUUCAACAUUAUUGAUUAAGCAGAUGGUUUUAGCCAUAAAUAAAGGCAAAUAAGACAUUCAAGUACCUGUGAGACAGCAGGAAAUGUGGAUUCUGUAUGGGAUAGGACUUGAAAUGGAAGUUCUGUCCUAUUCUAGUACAAGUGUGCUUACAUUUAGUGACAGCAUGGAAAAUUAUUUAUUAUUUAUCUGAGACUAUAAGCAAAUCUUGUGAGUAUUACAAAGUGUUUCAUCCUUUGUGAAUCUACUUUGAACUGUGUCUAAGACAGAGAAUAUGGAAUUUAAUUUGGAUUCUAGUGUCUUUCUAUUUUUCAUAUAUGAUUCACAGAUGAUUGGCCAAGUAAAAUCAUCAUAAGAUCAGGUCUUUGUAGCAGAGUAUAACAGAUUUAAAGGUGCACCCAAGGGACUUUUUACAUAUCCUAUAAAAUUCAAAGGGGAUACCCACAGUUCCUGGAGAUUUACCUUUGUUUCAGUGUGGCUGCUGGCAGACAGGUAGGUUUAUUUGUUUGUUAUUACUUUUUUAUCUAAAAUAUAGCCUGAGAGAAGCAUGUCAUUUAUAGAGAUUUUUUUUUUGUGUUUUAAUCACUUCUGAGAAUCAAAUAUCUGAAGUGUUUUUAGGUAAGCAAAAAAAAAUUAGGCUUCUUAUUUGUAUGCCAAGCUAAUUGCUUUUAAUCGUGAGAUAAUAUGGCAUCUUUGACUUUACUUAGCUUAAAAGUUACUUUUUUAUUACUGCUACCCUUUUAAAGAAAAAUCUGCUUUGUGUGCAUAUUACAUUUUGAGUUUUAACCUCACAAACAUCAGCAUGUUCAGACUCUCCCUAAAGUAGGUAAUUCAUGAGGUUCUCUUUGAUAAAUCUAUUUAUUUACAUUUUUAUGUAUCUCUCUUUAGCUUUUGAUCUCCUCUUUUGGUUUGAUAUUUAUCUGAGUUCUUUUCUAUUCUUUGUUAUCAUAUAGGAGACUGUGUUAUUGAUUUUAUAUAGUGAAUUUCUCUGUACUGACUUUGACCAAGACCCAGAUUCCUUGCUUGACGUGUUUAAUUUAAUUUCCCAAAACCUAGCUAGUAGGCAUUUGAUCUCUAAAGGGAGAUGCCAGACAUCUGAAGUAAUUUGCUUCAAUUUGUCCCUAUUUUUUGCUUGUUCUAUUUGUUGUUUUGUUUUGUGGUUGGGGUUGAUUUAUUUUGUUCAUAUGCUUGUUGUUGCUGGUUUAUUUUUUGGGUUUUGUUUUGUUUGGGUUUUUUUUGAGGGGAGAGGGAGUUUUAAUUUUUUUAUUCUCCUGAAUGUCAGGUCUUUUUGAUUGGUGAAUACACUGGUAGGAAAUGGAUACAAUUGAAUAUUCUCAAAAAAUAAUUAAUUUCCUCAAAUUUUUGCAAAUUUUCAAGAUAUACUUCAGACAAUAUUUUAGCUUUGUUUUGGGUUUGGUUUUGAUUAGGAGGAUACAAGGAGAUGACAGUUUUAAGUCACCUGAUAAGAGAGUGAACCACAAAACUUUCUCACAUGUGAUUGACAAAAGCAGUGCUGGGUGGAGAUCUCAAACCAGUUCUCAUGACCACAGUUUAAUAAUGAGACUAACUUAGCUUUACUAGUUAAGGUAUUCAAAAAGAUCUAGCUGGUCUUUGCAUUGCAUUUUGGUAUACACCAUCAGUGAAAGAAAUAAAGUUCCUCACUGAUUCUGAGUGAAAGAUUACACUGAGGUGAGCCCUAAUUCUGGAAUGUAGUUUCACUUAAGCACCUUUCAAAAUUAAAGCUCUGAAAAAAAAUGGUUUAAAGUUCACAUUUAAAUUCUUUCCUGGAAGAAAUUAAUUUAAAGAGAACAAGUUAUACAAAAGGAAAAGAAAAAAGGAAUCUAAUUUUUCAUUCUACUAAGCAAAAGUAAGUCAACAUACUGUACUUGAAUUAAGAUGAUUUGCAAAAUUGGGACUGGAUAUGCUGUGCAAGACAAUAAUUAUCUCAUCCUCAAGUACCUGGUCAUACAGUAAUUUAAACUAUACAAUUCAGCUAUCUUUGUUUCUUUGUUAGUCAUUUAAAAUUAUAGCCAUUAAUUAAUUUGAAUAUUUCAAAUGUGAACUGAAAGCAGUACUUUGGAACAGUAUUGUCUGUGUAGUAUACAGCAGGUUGUAAUUAAAGCUAGACGAGUUCUUUAAAAAAAUUCCCUUUUUUAUAUAUGAAGACAUGGUGAGUUUAAUCAAUAUCAGUAGGGUAAAAUCAAGCAGUUAAAAGCGCUAAUUUAGGAUAACAGAAUAUGACCUGCUGCAAUUCUGAAAUGCUCAUUCGUUUCUAAUUGUUUUGUAUUUUUCUGAAGCUUUUCACUGUUUUCAGUAUAGAAAAACUGAACUUUGAGGACGAAAUGGAGAGUAACCCUCUAAGAUGCACUUUCUAUUUAUCUGAGAGCAUAAGGGACAGAAAUAUUUGAGACAGAAAUAUUAUGAAUCCUGUUUAGUGGAUUGUAAUCAGCUCUCUGUUAUCUAGGGAAGUAGAACACAGUUUGAAAAAUUAGUGCAAAUAUCAUUACAACAGGGUCCUGCCAGGCUCCAGUCAGGACACCAUCCCUUGCUGCAGCAGCAUGCCAGUAAAUUUUCACUGGAGAGGCUUGUCCAUUCAGAAGGUUUCUGGCAAAUGCGCUUCAAGGUCAAAUAAUUUUUUGAAUCCUGUCUUCACGUUUGUCAGGUAUCUAUGUUUGAGAUCCAGCAUUUCUGGAAAUAUGAAAAAUCAUCCUUGGGUGUGGACCCAGCUUAAAUCGGGCUGGGUAUGACACAAAACUACAUCACAGAGUCAAAUUAGCUUUAUGAUCCUGUGACUCUAACCCUAUAUUAACAGCUCUACCAAAUCUAAGAUUACUUUCGCAGGACAAGCUCCACUGUCUUGUUGUCUUGAUGAAAUUAUCUAUCUGCCAGUAGGGUAACAAACUCACUGACAAAAAAACCCAAACAUUCAGGGGUGGGUGCUGCAUGGUUUGUUGCAUGGUUUCCUCAGAUGUCCCACAAACCCCCCUCUUUUUUUUAAUAAUUUUUACUUCAAUUUAUUCUCAGGAAUAAUGUUUCUGUGUGACAGGAGAAAAGCAGCCAGGAGUUGAAUAUGCAAGCUGACUACAGAUCAUUUCAGCUAUUACAUUCAGAACUGCAUAAAUGCAUAGAGUAACUAUAAAAUCUGUCUCACUGGCAGAAAAUUGCUCAUAAUGCUCUGCUCUGCCAAACCAUUAGUAGUUUUUCAUGGCAUUGUUUAGGGUUCAAAAUAUCAGGAGUCACAGAUUACAAAAGUUAAGCAAGUGGCUCAGGAGAGGUCCUUCUUAGCCUUUUGGCCUGGGGGGAUGCACUUAUAAUAAGCAGUUGUUUCUGAACAGUCUCUAAACCCACAAUCUGAUUUGGUCUGUUUUAUUACUGUCUUUUUCUUAAUUUUUUUUUCCAGAACUCUGAAAAUCCUUCAGCUGAAACAUUCUGAGUUUCCGCUGCUGUGUUACAUGUUGAAUGGCUGAGAUUUCCACCUCACUGGAAAUUCUCUUACACAAUUGUGAUAAAAGUUAGUAUUUGCUUUGCUAUCUGUCAUGAAAAUUAGCACCAUCAUUUCCUGGACGUGGUCCAUUGUGUCCUCUACACAGCUGUAUGGGAUCCACAGAGAUUUCUAUGACAAGGAAGCCUGAGACAAAUGAAAUCCUUACUGCAUCAUAAAAAACAACUGAGAAUCAGAGCAGAGCAUGUAAAUCUAAAGUUAUUUUUACACUGACCAGCUACUCAUUCGGAUUCAGUUUAUGGACUUCUUGAAGAUCUGAGAGGCAGUCAUCCCAAAAGAUUAUGACAAAGCAGACAAUCAUCUUUUAUUUAGAAUGUACCUGAGACUUUAGUUCUGGAAGGAUCUGAACUGUACUCACGGUCAUAUUUUGAAACUACAAGGCAAAGACUCAGAAUUUUGUUUUAGAAAAAAGACAGAGGAUUGUAAAAGAUGAAUAAACAUUAUA